CAUUUAUUAGAACAAAACCAAUUGGCCUCGGCCAUACAUUGGUGAAUCUGAAUAACUACGCGGAUCGCAUGGUCUCGCACCGGCGACGUAUCCUUCAAGUGUCUGCCUUGUCAACUUUCGACGGUAGUUUACAUAACUACCAUGGUUGUAACGGGUAUCGGAGAAUUAGGGUUCGACUCCGGAGAGGGAGCCUGAGAAACGGCUACCACAACCAAGGAAGGCAGCAGGCACGCAAAUUACCCACUCCCCGAACGGGGAGGUAGUGACGAGAAAUAACAAUACGGGAUUCUAAUGAAGCCCCGUAAUUGGAAUGAGAACAAUCUAAAUCCUUUAACGAGGAUCGAUUGGAGGGCAAGUCUGGUGCCAGCAGCCGCGGUAAUUCCAGCUCCAAUAGCGUAUAUUAAAGUUGUUGCAGUUAAAAAGCUCGUAGUUUGAUUUCUGGACGGGCGCCAACACCCGCUUGUUUAGUGUGGAGGCGGCGCCCGCCCAUCCUUCUGUUAGCGCCACCGGCAUUCAUUUGCUGGCGGCGGGCUCAGAUAUUUUACCUUGAGAAAAUUAGAGUGUUUCAGGCAGGCU
rnacentral:rRNA from 1 species